rnacentral:rRNA from 1 species
AUUGAACGCUGGCGGCAGGCCUAACACAUGCAAGUCGAGCGAGCGGCGGACGGGUGGGUAAGGUAGGGGGAUCUGCCCGAUAGAGGGGGAUAAGUGCUGGAAAAGGUGGCUACACCCGCAAACUAUCGGAGGAACUCAUGUGGGAUUAGCUAGAAGGUGGGGUAAAGGCUCACCUAGGCGACGAUGUCUAGCUGGUCUGAGAGGAUGAUCCGCCACACUGGGACUGAGACACGGCCCAGACUCCUACGGGAGGCAGCAGUGGUGAAUAUUGCACAAUGGGCGCAAGCCUGAUGCAGCCAUGCCGCGUGUAUGAAGAAGGCCUUAGGGUUGUAAAGUACUUUCAGCGGGGAGGCGUUACCCGCAGAAGAAGCACCGGCUAACUCCGUGCCAGCAGCCGCGGUAAUAC